GAAUACACGUAACAGUGCUCUGCGCCAUUUUCCCCUGGUGGCUCCCCUCCCGCUGCCGGUCCAGCCACUAUUGUGCCACAUGCUGCCAUGGCCUCAUGGCCUGCAGCGUCUCAGGACACUCAGAGAACUGCCAUAUUGGAGAUACGUGGCUCCCACAGCAGAGGUUCCAGCUUCUAAAUAGAGGCUUCCUUCAGGGGGUUGCAGGAAGACCCACGCUGUUUGCCCCAGGCCUUCCGUGUGAGGCCGGCCGAACCCCAGCAGUGCUGCAGGCUUUUUGUGCAACAUCAAAAUAUGUCUGUUGUGGGCAAAAUGGUCUCAAGUGGCAACUUCUGCUUUAUUGUCAAUUAACACAAAAUGCUGAUCGCUCAUUUGGGUAUUUAGAAAGCACACAAAUGAUCAGCCACUUACAUGAACACCUGUCCUACCUCCAGCAUGAACGUCCUUAUUUUCACCACAGGUUACAUGCAGCUUGUCAGAAUGCCUCUGGCAAGCUGCAAGGCAGCGUGAGCAGCCCAAGGGACUUCUGUAAGGCUCUUUUGCUGCUGAGCACCUCUUUCUUAAAGGCUGUCCCUACCCCAGAACAGACCACUAUAGGACACAGGCCCUGAGAGGUGUCCAAGCUACAGCAUAAUAGAUCUGUAGACUGCAGCCUGUCUCUCAGAGAUGCACGUACCCAUUCUGCUAUGAAAUGGAUUUCCAGCCCCAUAUUUGGGAGAUCCCUCAUUAAGUGCACCUGUCCUGCUCUGCUCAUUUGCAGUGAUGGUGCUCAGCUGGUUCCUCUUUGCUGCUGACCUCAGCCCAGAGCUGAUUGGUUCUCACUGUGACUGGCUCAGGGCUGCAGCUUAGGAGUGCCCUCAGGCUGAAACCUGGGGUCUCCUGGAUACCACAGCCCCUUGGUGGCUGUCUGAGGGUAUGAGCUGAGCUACGUCUGUAGGCUGAAGUACCAUCAGGGCUCUCUGGGCCAUACUCUAAGGAGGAUGCAGAGACAUGUGCCCACCAAAGCCCCUCGGGUGUUGACAGCUGCUGCUGCUGCCCAAUGCUCCCUGUGUGGCAGCAUGACCUUUCAGGGACCUCUCUGGCUACCUCCUUGCUGAAGCAGAGAUCCUUCACAGCCCCCAGCGUGAGGUUGAGGGGGCCCUGAGCAGAGCACGCAGAGGAGGCCGAACAGAUGGGAGGUGCCCA
rnacentral:lncRNA from 1 species